UCCGGUUUAACACCGGCAGUCUCCUUAGAGUCCCCGGCAUGACUCGCUGGCAACUAAGGACAAGGGUUGCGCUCGUUGCGGGACUUAACCCAACAUCUCACGACACGAGCUGACGACAGCCAUGCAGCACCUGUGCACGGACUCCGAAGAGGGCCCGGUGUUUCCACCAGGUUUCCCGUGCAUGUCAAGCCCAGGUAAGGUUCUUCGCGUUGCGUCGAAUUAAACCACAUGCUCCACAGCUUGUGCGGGCCCCCGUCAAUUCCUUUGAGUUUCAGUCUUGCGACCGUACUCCCCAGGCGGCGAACUUAACGCGUUAGCUUCGAUACUGAGAGCCUAAUUGCUCCCAACAUCCAGUUCGCAUCGUUUAGGGCGUGGACUAC
rnacentral:misc_RNA from 1 species